AGAUUGAACGCUGGCGGCAUGCCUUACACAUGCAAGUCGAACGGCAGCACGGGAGCAAUCCUGGUGGCGAGUGGCGAACGGGUGAGUAAUAUAUCGGAACGUGCCCAGUCGUGGGGGAUAACGCAGCGAAAGCUGUGCUAAUACCGCAUACGAUCUCUGGAUGAAAGGCGGGGACUCGACAAGACGCCUCGCGCGUAGUUGGACGCGGCCGAUA
rnacentral:rRNA from 1 species